AAGCCAUAGAGGAUAAGAGGGCUCGGGGUGGUGAUCAGAGGUCUCUGAGGCAAUGAUCUGGAAGCUGCCACCUACAAGAUAAAGAGUAAGCAAGAUAGAGACAGCAGGAAUGAGCUCUCCGACGGAGGGCAUGAACAGCAAGUGCAAAGGCCCUGCGACUCGAAAGAGCAUGAAAGACUGAGGAAGCGGCCAGUGUGGCUCCAACACAGUGGAGGAGUGGGGGGAUCCUACUGAGAUAGAGGCCCUGGAGCUGGCUCCUCCACAGCUCUCAGGAAUGACAGUAAACACAGACGGCCCUGCAUGUAUUCCGGCUGUGGCAGCCUUCCUCCUGGGCUGCACAUCAGGCUAACAAGCCCAGCCCUCAGCUUCACAGGGAUUGGAGAGCUGGUGACCCUAGUCAAGGAAGCUGGUGACCCUGGAUCAGUUGCCUCCCCUCUCUGUGCCUAAAUCCCCCACCCCACUUCUGUCAAUUAGGAGGAUGAUGCCUUCUUCAAAGUGUUGUCAUAAAGAUUAAAUCCUUAUUAAAGUCU
rnacentral:lncRNA from 1 species